AGCAGCCGCGGUAAUUCCAGCUCCAAUAGCGUAUAUUAAAGUUGUUGCAGUUAAAAAGCUCGUAGUUGAAUUUCGGGAUCAAUAUUUCGGUCAUGCCGUUGGUAUGCACUGUUAUCAUUGAUUUCUCACCUUCUAAAGAACCGUAAUGCCAUUAAUUUGGUGUUACGGGGAAUUAGGACUGUUACCUUGAAAAAUUAGAGUGUUUAAAGCAGGCUCACGCUUGAAUACAUUAGCAUGGAAUAACGGAAUAGGACGUUUGAUUCUAUUUUGUUGGUUUCUAGGAUCGACGUAAUGAUUAAUAGGGAUAGUUGGGGGCAUUAGUAUUCAAUUGUCAGAGGUGAAAUUCUUGGAUUUAUGAAGACUAACUACUGCGAAAGCAUUUGCCAAGGAUGUUUUCAUUAAUCAAGAACGAAAGUUAGGGGAUCGAAGACGAUCAGAUACCGUCGUAGU
rnacentral:rRNA from 1 species